AAUAUUGCACAAUGGGCGCAAGCCUGAUGCAGCGACGCCGCGUGGGGGAUGAAGGCCUUCGGGUUGUAAACUCCUUUCGCUAUCGACGAAGCCACUUGUGGUGACGGUAGGUAGAUAAGAAGCACCGGCUAACUACGUGCCAGCAGCCGCGGUAAUACGUAGGGUGCAAGGGAUGUCCGGAAUUACUUGGGGUAAAGAGCUCGUAGGGGGUUUGUCGCGUCGUCUGUGAGAUCCCGGGGCUUAACUUCGGGCGUGCAGGCGAUACGGGCAUAACUUGAGUGCUGUAGGGGAGACUGGAAUUCCUGGUGUAGCGGUGAAAUGCGCAGAGAUAAAGAGGAACACCGAUGGCGUAGGCAGGUCUCUGGGCAGUUACUGACGCUGAGGAGCGAAAGCAUGGGAAGCGAACAG
rnacentral:rRNA from 1 species